rnacentral:tRNA from 1 species
GGCUAUGUUGGACCGCGAAAGCUGGCCUCAUAAUCCCUCGGUCGCGGGUUCGAGCCCCGCCCGCCCCACCA